GCCGGGUGCGGUGCUGGGCGCCUGUAAUCCCAACUACUUGGGAGGCUGAGGCAGAAGAAUCGCUUGAACCUGGGAGGCGGAGGUUGCAGUGAGCAGAGAUCGUGCCACUGCACUCCAGCCUGGGUGACUGAGUGAGAUUCCAUGACAAAACAAAACUUUGCACAGGAGUCCUUUUUUUUUUUUUUUUUUUUUUUUUAAGACAGUCUCGCUCUGUCACCCAGGCUGGAGUGCAGUGGCGCUAUCUCAGCUCACUGUGACCUCUGCCUCCCGGGUUCAAGCGAUUCUCCUGCCUU
rnacentral:SRP_RNA from 1 species